UACGUAGGGGGCAAGCGUUGUCCGGAUUUAUUGGGCGUAAAGAGCGUGUAGGCGGCCAGACAGGUCCGUUGUGAAAACUCGAGGCUCAACCUCGAGAUGUCGAUGGAAACCGUCUGGCUAGAGUCCGGAAGAGGAGUGUGGAAUUCCUGGUGUAGCGGUGAAAUGCGCGGAUAUCAGGAAGAACACCUAUGGCGAAGGCAGCACUCUGGGACGGUACUGACGCUGAGACGCGAAAGCAUGGGGAGCGAACAGG
rnacentral:rRNA from 1 species